UACAGAGGUCUCAAGCGUUGUUCGGAUUCAUUGGGCGUAAAGGGUGCGCAGGCGGCGCGGUAAGUCGGGUGUGAAAUCUCGGAGCUUAACUCCGAAACUGCAUUCGAUACUGCCGUGCUUGAGGACUGGAGAGGAGACUGGAAUUUACGGUGUAGCGGUGAAAUGCGUAGAUAUCGUAAGGAAGACCAGUGGCGAAGGCGGGUCUCUGGACAGUUCUUGACGCUGAGGCGCGAAAGCUAGGGGAGCAAACAGG
rnacentral:rRNA from 1 species